rnacentral:rRNA from 1 species
AGACAAAAUAUAGAGGGUCCUGCCUGCCCAGUGACAUAAAAGUUAAACGGCCGCGGUAUCUUGACCGUGCGAAGGUAGCAUAAUCACUUGUCUCCUAAAUAGAGACUGGUAUGAAUGGCAAGACGGAACUUAACUGUCUCCUUUUCUUAUAUCUUAAUUUCACUUUCCCGUGAAGAGGCGGGAAAAUGUUCGUUAGACGAGAAGACCCUGUCGAGCUUAAGCAAAAUACUAAUUUUUAAUCACUCUUUGUUUUAUUCUAAUUUUACUUCCACUAAAUUCAACUAAGAGAAAAUUAUUGGUACAAGCUUUGGUUGGGGCAACCGCGGAGAAGAAAAACCCUCCGCUUACAACAAAUAAAUGUAAGACUCUACAAGUCUAAUAUUGUAUAAACAAGUAAUACUGAUCCACUACGGUGAUCAAAGGAAAAAGUUACCGCAGGGAUAACAGCGUUAUCUUUUCUGAGAGUUCACAUUGACGAAAAGGUUUGCGACCUCGAUGUUGGAUCGGGACAUCCUAAGGGUGCAGAAGCUUUUAAGGGUUGGUCUGUUCGACCAUUAAAGUCCU